rnacentral:lncRNA from 1 species
GUUUCCUUAUUCAGUCAUCACACAUUGCUUGAACAUCCACAUAUUUAAUGUUCUUUGUCUGGAACUAAAGAAAUAAACAUGAGUAAGAUAGAAACUCCCACUAGAGGAAGGAAAACUGGGAAUUGCCCUGCUCUGAGGUAAAGUUCAGUCCCUUAUCUCACUAAAGAACCCAGAACUGACUGCAGCUGUGAAAUCUCUGCCUCCCACACUUGGACAAGGAACCUGCUCUUGGUGGUGCACUUUUCUCUGGAGCAACCUGAAGACAGGCUCUUGGACUUAAAAAGACAAGUAGGUGAACAAGAAGUUAAGAAUUGGGGUAGACAGAGAGACAUAGCAACAGGCCAUGAUGGUUCUGAAAUCCAGAUAGGAAACUGUAGUUAGAGUUCUUGGAUUGGGUUUCCAGAUUUGAGGGCAAUGAUGGCUUCUGCUUUUGGCUCCCUGGGCACUUGGUUCUGCCCUCUGAGUCAUCCCUCCUUUUUCAUGGAAAGUAAUAAAUUCUCACAGUUGAGCAGUUUUGUCAGCUUGCUUCCUGCCAGUACAAUUUGGGGGUGGGUGAAAGGGAUAUAUAGCCUCCUUUUAUUUUGUUCUCACUGUGUCUCUUUGGGUUCAAGCUGGCAGGCUCUCUGUUGUACUAAUGAUAUGGGUCUUGGAGUUUCCCUGGUGUUAAAGAUUAAAUACCCGAGCACUGCCAAGGCAAGCCUAGAAAGCAAAUUUUAUUUAAGAAAGUGAUAGAGACAGAUUUCUCCUAAGAGACAUGGCCCCGGAGCUGAGUAUCCAUGGGAGGGAGUGUGUCUUGUUCUUAUUUAG